CACGUAGGGGGCAAGCGUUGUCCGGAUUUAUUGGGCGUAAAGAGCUCGUAGGCGGUUUCGUAAGUCGGGUGUGAAAACUCUAGCUUAACCUAGAGACGCCACCCGAUACUGCGAUGACUAGAGUCCGGUAGGGGAGUGUGGAAUUCCUGGUGUAGCGGUGAAAUGCGCAGAUAUCAGGAGGAACACCAACGGCGAAGGCAGCACUCUGGGCCGGAACUGACGCUGAGGAGCGAAAGCGUGGGUAGCGAACAGG
rnacentral:rRNA from 1 species